rnacentral:rRNA from 1 species
UUUGAACAUAUUUUUGAAAAAAAUAAAGACCUGUUAAGUGAUUGUAAAUCUAGUUAACUGCCCAAACAUGUUUUUUACACAGACAAAAAAUUAGAUGCUAUCUCUUUUCCUUUUGUAUAAUGAAAGCAGGUUAGAACUUGUAGGUACCCCAUCCGUGCACGAAACAUUAAAAGGUUUAACAUAGGUGGCCAGUACAAAAACUGUAUAUCGACUGCAAAAAUCUAGCUGAGAGACUGAUAAGAACAACUUAAAAUACAAAGAACAGAUAACACGAUCUGGGUGUGAAUUUUAUCUUGCAAUAAUCAAUAGCCUUUACAUUAGGCGUUAGACUUUAACAGUAACUCACUUUAAUAUACCAUAUUAGUUCAUAACUUACAAUCUGUUUUGAGUUAAAAAACGAGGAGCACAAUAAAUAAAUCUUCCGAAAGUUUCACAAAAACCUUUCCCUUUACAAUAAAAGGUACACCCUGCUAAGGAAAAGAAGUAGCAUAAUUGAUAGCCACUUGAUUGGUGGAGAGUUUGAAUGGGCACUCGAGAGGACUGCACGACAAUGUCUUUUUGCCCCUAGUUAUCAGUAAAUAUAAUAGGUGAAAAUACCUAUAAAUUCAAGAAAGGCGAUAAGACCCUAAAAGCUCUAAUGAUAGUUGUUGGGGCAACAAGAAAAUUAACUAUUCUUUAACCUACCUUUUAUACAAGUUACUUUAGGGAUAACAGCGUAAUAUCUAUUAUCAAGACCGUAUUAAUAAUAGAGAGUACGACCUCGAUGUUGAACUAAAGGAAUAUUAGUGUACAAACUAGUGUCUAUCGUCUGUUCGCCGAUCCUCCUUUACGUGAUUUGAGUUCAAACCGGCGAGAGCCAGGUUGGUUUCUACCUUCUUUAAUUUACAUAAUACCUUAGUACGAAAGGAAAUAGCGUUGGUUACCAACUAAGUUGUAUUUAAUAUUUUCUUGUCGAGAAAAAGAACUUCUAAUUCUGCUAAUAUAGUUUUAUAUAAAUAUUUUUCUUGUAAAAAAAAGUAA